AGUGAACGCUGGCGGUAGGCCUAACACAUGCAAGUCGAACGGCAGCACAGUAAGAGCUCGCCCCUACGGGUGGCGAGUGGCGGACGGGUGAGGCAUACAUAGGAAUCUACUUUUUCGUGGGGGAUAACGUAGGGCAACUUCUGCUAAUACCGCAUACGACCUACGGGUGAAAGCAGGGGAUCUUCGGACCUUUCGCGAUUGAAUGAGCCGGUGUCGGAUUAGCUAGUUGGUGUGGUAAAGGCCCACCAAGGCAACGAUCCGUAGCUGAUCUGAGAGGGUGAUCGGCCACACUGGAACUGAGACACGGUCCAGACUCCUACGGGAGGCAGCAGUGGGGAAUAUUGGACAAUGGGCGCAAGCCUGAUCCAGCCAUGCCGCGUGAGUGAAGAAGGCCUUCGGAUUGUAAAGCCCUUUUGUUGGGAAAGAAAAGCAGCAUAAUAAUACCCCGCUGUUCUGACGGUACCCAAAGAAUAAGCACCGGCUAACUUCGUG
rnacentral:rRNA from 1 species